ensembl:lncRNA
CUGAGUAUCAUGACACUUAAAGUAUGGCAUCCCCCACAUCUGAGGAGGGUCGGGCCCUGGGAGAAGGAGGUGGCCUUCUGUUCACCAGCUGCAACGGGUCCAUAUGUGGAGCAGGGAUAAUCAAAUAAAUGUGCUAUGUUGGACACUGUGACGGGAAGAAGAUGGAAGAGAGAGGAUGUGAGCAUGUAUAUUUGAAGACGAGGGAAAGAGUGGCUGUGGCAGAAAAAUCAACUCGUACACUGAGUGAGUCAUGUGCAGUUUUCCGGAGUACACAGACUCUUCACCUAUGGUUGGAUUCCCAGGGGACCAUGGUUCCUAAGACUCCCACAGGCCCCCGACGAACUCGGAUGGAUCUUCGCCCUGGCCAGGAGCCCAGCCUAAGAGCCAGCCCGGACAGCGCUGCCCCUCCCCUCCAAGCGACAGCAUUGUGAAGACUGGAGAGCAAAACGGGUCGCCCACAAGGAAACUCCAGAAAGCGGG